UCCAUUCCGAACCAAGAAGUUAAGCCCAUCUUCGCCGAUGGUACUGCAAGGGAGGCCUUGUGGGAGAGUAGGUCGCCCCCGGUU
rnacentral:rRNA from 1 species